UUCAAGAGGUGUCUGGACAAACCUGACCUAGAGGUAACUCUAUGUAAAGACACGGCAGUGCAAACGCAGUCCCGAAAAUGGCACAGCUGGAACAACCGUGGAAAACGACGAGAGGUUCUUGUGGAAGAAAAACCGCAUGAUCAAAACACACAUGUUUUAUUUGCUUUGUGAAAUGAAUAGCUGCACCGAUAAAUGCGUCAGGACAGAUGUGAGAAGAGCUUGAGACAAAAGGACUAGAAACUUGAACUGCCAAACAAGAAAGGAAGUUUAUGAAACCUAUGAAGAUAGGUCAUGUUAUCAUAGCUACAGGACAGAUGAAUUACAAAAUAGAACACUCCUGCUUAAGUUGGAUUUGGUUUGUUUGUGUGCCUGUGCGUGUAUGUGUUAAGUGCUAUUUAGUGCUACUUCUGACUUAUGGUAGAAGAAGAAGAAGAAGAAGAAGAAGAAGAAGAAGAAGAAGAAGAAGA